AUUGAACGCUGGCGGCAGGCCUAACACAUGCAAGUCGAACGAGUGGCGGACGGGUGAGUAAUGUCUGAGAAACUGCCCGAUGGGGGGGGAGAACUACUGGAAACGGUAGCUAAUAACGAAUACCCUCGGAUUUGGCCAGAUGGGAUUAGCUGGUAGGUGGGGUAACGGCUCACCUAGGGGACGAUCACUAGCUGGUCUGAGAGGCUGACCAGCCACACUGGAACUGAGACACGGUCCAGACUCCUACGGGAGGCAGCAGUGGGGAAUAUUGCAAAAUGGGCGCAAGCCUGAUGAAGCCAUGCCGCGUGUAUGAAGAAGGCCUUCGGGUUGUAAAGUACUUUCAGCGAGGAGGCGUUACUCGCAGAAUAAGCAUCGGCUAACUCCGUGCCAGCAGCCGCGGUAAUUC
rnacentral:rRNA from 1 species